AGUGAACGCUGGCGGUAGGCCUAACACAUGCAAGUCGAACGGCAGCACAGUAAGAGCUUGCUCUUACGGGUGGCGAGUGGCGGACGGGUGAGGAAUACAUCGGAAUCUACUUUUUCGUGGGGGAUAACGUAGGGAAACUUACGCUAAUACCGCAUACGACCUACGGGUGAAAGCAGGGGAUCUUCGGACCUUGCGCGAUUGAAUGAGCCGAUGUCGGAUUAGCUAGUUGGCGGGGUAACGGCCCACCAAGGCAACGAUCCGUAGCUGGUCUGAGAGGAUGAGCGGCCACACGGGAACUGAGACGAGGUCCAGACUCCUACGGGAGGCAGCCGUAGGGAAUCGUCCGCAAUGGGCGAAAGCUUGACGGAGCAAUGCGGCGGGAGUGAUGAAGAGCUUCGGAUCGUAAAGCUCUGUUAUUAGGGAAGAAAAAAUGUGUAAGGAACUAUGCACGUCUUGACGGUACCUAAUCAGAAAGACACGGCUAAUUACGUG
rnacentral:rRNA from 1 species